rnacentral:rRNA from 1 species
GGCGGCGUGCCUAACACAUGCAAGUCGAACGCGGUUACUUCGCAAGAGGUAACUGAGUGGCGAACGGGUGAGUAACACGUGGGUGACCUACCUUCGAAUGGGGGAUAACGUCCCGAAAGGGACGCUAAUACCGCAUAACAUCCUGCCUUUGAACAGGUGGAGAUCAAAGCCGGGGAUCGCAAGACCUGGCGUUUGAAGAGGGGCCCGCGUCUGAUUAGCUAGUUGGUGAGGUAACGGCCCACCAAGGCGACGAUCAGUAUCCGGCCUGAGAGGGCGGACGGACACACUGGGACUGAGACACGGCCCAGACUCCUACGGGAGGCAGCAGUGGGGAAUUGUUCGCAAUGGGCGCAAGCCUGACGACGCAACGCCGCGUGGAGGAUGAAGGUCUUCGGAUUGUAAACUCCUGUUGCCCGGGACGAAAAGCUUCGACCUAACACGUCGAAGUCUGACGGUACCGGGUGAGGAAGCCCCGGCUAACUCUGUGCCAGCAGCCGCGGUAAUACAGANGGGGCAAGCGUUGUUCGGAAUUACUGGGCGU